rnacentral:lncRNA from 1 species
UUCAGCAUGAAAUAUUCAGAUCAAACUCGUUUCAACAAGUAAGACUAUGUUGGUUUUGGUAAUCCUUCAAAUCGGCCUUGCUUUGGGUAAGUCAAAUAUUUUUCUUUUUCUAAAUGCUGAUAUUUCAUCACAAAUGAUAUUAUAUUGUCAGCAUUUUUUUUUUCAAAAUAGUCUCUUUGACGACAAUGAACAUCUAGUCAUAUCACUACGCAUUGUUUCUAUCUUUCCUCAAUAUGUGAUAAAAAUAAUACUUAAGGAUGAACUUAGAGAUGACACGUUUUCGUUAAUUGUAUUCGCAUUGCUUCAUUAUGAUCCGUACGUGAAAGUUGUUUUCGGAAAGGCAAACGUUUUUUUUUCAUUUAAUAUAUGUGUAUGUCCUUGUAAUACGUAAAGUUAUUGUAUUGUAUGUAUGCACUGGUAAAUGCCUCCGUUAUCCGAAUAACCCCUCGAAAGCUGCGAGGGUACAGUGGUAUCCAUGUACACUUCCUUAUCGGGAUUAAUGGGAUGUGUCACUUAACGUAUAACUACGACAAUUUUUACAAAAACAAUCAAACCCACCCAACACAAGCGAGUGCUAGACACCGGGAAGUCUGUUGUGUGGUGGAGGAAGCCGAAGUACUCAGAGAGAACCACCAGGACACUCGGCGGAAACAAACAAACCGGAGAGAUAUCAGAAGAUUGAUCUCCAGGUAAAGUAGGCGACAACUUUGACAACCGAGGCCCCAAAGUAUUAUUAUUUGUCACGGCGAAUUUUUGAAAUUUCAAUAAAAAUCUACUAUUCUUAAAAACUUUAUGAAAAUAUUCGGUGAAAGGGUGGACAAAAAAAGUUCAAAAGUUGAGGGCUAAACGUAACUGAACACAUCAAAACGUUAUUUGUUUUUAAAGAUCCAAACGUAAAGACUCGUCAAGUUUUUUGGCAUAAAAAGGGAAGAAGGGACGAACAUCCGGCUUCUAUAGAAAGUACAUUUUCAUGAAUAAGAUAAUUAGUAUGACUUAAUUUUAUUUUAAUAGUUGGUCAAAUGUCAAAUGUUAUCGAAUGCAUUGACCAUUAAGACGCUUAACAAUUUAGCACAAGGUUAUUUUCAAAUUCAAACACGCCUACUAUAUUAUGAUGACUCAUUACAAAUACAUUUCAUUUAACCCAUAUAAAGUUGUUUUCUAGUAAUACAACAAUUGAAUGUUAGUAUAUAAACAUUUAGCUUUGUUCCUGUAUUAUAAAAUUAAGGACGAAUCAGGUGACCCAAACUCGCUUGAAUAAGUAUUGUGUACCUGACGUUCUUAACAUGAUAAGAUUGUUACCAAUUUUAAGGAUUUUGUUUCAAAUAUCUCUUAUAAUAACGUGGUCAUUUUUAUGAAUUUCCUGUUUACAAAACUUUAAAUUUUUCGAAAAACUAAGGAUUUUCUUAUCCCAGGUAAAGAUUACCUUAGCCGUAUUUGGCACAACGUUUUGGAAUGUUAGAUCCUCAAUGCUCUUCAACUUCGUACUUGUUUGGCUUUAUAAAUAUUUUGAUAUGAGCGUCACUGAUAAGUCUAAUGUAGACGAAACGCGCGUCUGGCGUACUAAAUUAUAAACUUGGUACCUUUGAUACAUUUAUGUGGAAACUUAUUUCAAUUUAAUUUUAUAUAUGCAUCUUUAAGAUAAAAAAUGAUAUAAUCUACCAAAAUCAGUAGUUUUGUGACAAUUUGUCUUUCAUUAAAAUGAUUGUAAUUUUUUAUCUGGAUUUCGUCAAAGUACAGUAACUAGUAUGUAGGGAUAAAUAAGCAAAACAAAAUAUUCACGUAUUGUUUAACAAACAUAAACAUGUACCGUAGCGAAUUGCAAGAUAUGAAAUGCCCUACGCCUGCAAACCUGCAUGAAUUAUGAAUAACAAAAGAGAAUAAUUUAACAUCUUGCCAAGAUAUUUCUUGUGAAAAUGCCUGAAUGACCUUGUUCUCAAUAGUCUUACUUAAAUUAAUACAUAAGGAAACCUGCAUAUAUUUUAACUACACACGUUUAGGAUUAUUCUUUAGUAGUUAACGUCCACUCGAAAGUAUUACGAUACACUCGAAUCUAGAAGUUACAUUAUGUACUGUUUCAUAUCUUUAAAUGUCAUUCUUCAGUAUUUCAAUGUUUUGUAUACAAAUUAAGAAUAAGAAGAAACCAAGUACACUUCUACUUUUUGAUUUGAUUAAUACAUGUACAUUGAUUAAGUUAUCGGGUCAGAAUAAAAGAUACUCAUUUUAACUAUAUCGCACGUAUAUGGAUACCUUGAUACGUAUACGUAUCUAAAUACUUCAGUUCUGCAACAUCUCUAAUAAAAGGUGCAUUACUUCAAUUAAGGAUGUACUUAGGUCAGGUGUAGGAAUUUGUGUUAGAUGUUCGGACUCCUUGGUUUUUCCCCAACGUUACAGGGUAAAUAUUUUGGCCAAUAACACCCAUUUUAUUUUCACAUUAGACUUCCAUAGCUUUUGAAAGGUCAUUUACCAAAAUUUAAGCAGAUUCGAGAAUUCCUUUCUGUCGAUUUUACACCAGAAUAAUACCAAAGCAAAUAUCAAGUAAAAGUCCGAAUAUGCCCGUUCCCACCAAAAUGAGCUCCAUAACCUAUCAAUAUUUUUAUCUUAUUUUGUUCCUUCCGUCAAUUAGAACAGAUGAACUUUAAAUUCUAGAUUUUUUUAAUUUUACUUAACAUGUUCUACCGUUAUCUUGAUGGAGAAAAAACGAUUUUAUAUACAGAUAACCAGAUACAUCAUAACAGUUCUUUUUUAUCUACAGAAGAAUUUUGUGUAAGUUAUACAUAUAUUAUAUAAAUACAAUACAAAAAUUGCCGGCUCUUCAAAAAUACAAAUUAAAUAUUCUACUUUUUAUACAUUUUUGGAACAUUCAUGAAAUACUAAAUCAACUAUUUUAAUGUAGCUGCAAUUUCAGAAAACAGUUUCUUCGUAUAUUUUUCCAAACAAAAUUGAUUUAUGUCAAUAUUGUUAUCUCUCGUCGUAAAAAUAUUUGUUUCGCUCUAUAAUUAACAAGUAAAACAAUUUCUUUAUCCCAUUUUACCCUUUCCUUACAAUACCUACCUUUUGUAUUUAUUGAAAAUUUGUGUUCGUCCUGAACAUGAAAUAUAUGCCACUAGACAUUAAACAAACAACAUUCAAUCUAGGCAUAUUUGUAUACAGUGGGAUUUACUGAUUUUUUGUGGUAUUAAAUUUGCUGUUACAAAAUAUUAAAAAACAUUAUAAAUUAAGGAAUGUAUCUCCUUCAUGCAAAGCUCUGAUUCCUUACACGAAUUUGACUAUACUGUUUGGGAUUUUAAGAUUAUAGUUCUUCAUUUUUUAUAUAAGCUUUGGAUUUUACAUAUUUUGGCCACGAGCAUCAAUGAAGAGACAUGUAUUGCCGAAAUGCGCACCUGGUGCAGAAAAAUUGGUACCGUUAAUGUUAUUACUGAAUUGAAAAGGGUCGUUAGUACAUGUACAUGUAUAUAUAGGCUGCUGAUUCAUUGCGCUUGAAGAUGGUGUUCAGUUGGUGUCUAUGUUUAUAAAUUUUUUUAGAAUAUUGCCAUCCCUUUCAUGCUGGCUUGGAUUAUAAUUUAUUGAUAAAUAACUCGUUGUCUUUCCAUCAAUACUGGUUGCGUAGAACAAAAGCAUAAACAGAGUGGUUGGCAAACAUGAAAACCUGAAUUUCGUGGUACAAAGCUUAAUUUGAGGUGCUUUCAGAUGUGCCUUUUUUAUUUUAAAAAGACAUGACAAACCAAUUAUGGAUGGUAAUGUCGUACUUCGUGUUUGUUAAUAUUCUUUAGUUAGAUGAUUGAAGUUCCCACUUGACAAGAAAGUAUUGUAUACUCUUAAGUUCAUAAUGAAAAAGCAAGAGUACCGCUAAAAUUACACUGUCUAAUACUAGUAACAGAAUAUACAAAUGUCCAAGGGGAUGAUUAUUUGCCUGUUGGUGAUUUUAUACUGGGUCGAUGACAAGGCUGGUGAACGUUUCAUCCAUGAGUGUUUCAACAGCCCAAAAGUCCGCACUUUAAUGUUGACACAGAAUAUCUGUUUUACUGUUUAUAAAAUGUUAGGUUUCUGGUAAUGCAAAGUUUAUUAACCACGCGAUAUUUAUCAUUAUUGGCAUAACUUUAUGUAAUUUUCAGUUUGAUUUAUAUUAACUUGGUUUUUGAUAAGGCGUUCCAACUAUUUUGAUUCGAAUGUCACUGAUGAGUCGUAUGUUGACGAUACCCGAGUAUAAAAAAUUAUUAGCCUGUUAUGCUUAAUGAGUAUUUACAUUGUAACUCAAAGCAUUAGACAAAACAAAUUAAGGCAACAUAAGUACCGAUGUUCUAAUAUCGUAAUUUAAUUAUCAAGAGACAAAUAAAGGUAACUGUUUAUAAAAUUUCCUUUUUAUAAUUUAGAUUGAUUUUUAAAAAAACCCUCGACAAAAGUUCGACGUUGGUUACUGUUCGAAUAUCAGAUAAUUUAUAAACAUCAUUACAAUCCUACAUUAACAAGUUACAGAAUGUUCUUACAUGGUUGAUUGAUUGGUUAGUGUUUCAUCACUGUAGUGUGCUAUUUUGUGGCGUUCAGUUUUUAUAGAUGACGGAAGCCGGAGUGCCCGGAGAGUACCACCGACCUUCGGUAGGAAAACUCACAAUGCCAGUAAAUUAAGAUAUGAAGAUAUGAGUCGAACGCACCUGUCUCGUGGGGGAUUCGUACUCACAACCUCAGUGAUGACAGAAAUUAAUUUUCUAACAAAACGUUUUCAUAUAGUUGCAGGUACAUCCUGGGGUGUUCCGGAAGAAUGCUAUCCAGUGUUUAGUUGUUCUUACAAGUUUCUAGAUGUUGGAAACUUCUUCUAUGAUGGCGAUGCUUUAAAGGAUGUCGGUGCAGAAACUGUUGACGAGCUAUGCCAGUAUGUG